CUUCACUUUAGUUCAGCUGCACUUGGCUCUGAUGCUCCAUUAAACUACAUGCAAACCGGCAGCCUUCAGUCUAUAGUAUAAAACUUAAAAACAGAGACAUCAUCAAGCAGUCAUACUGAUCACACAGUCGCCUCUAACACAGUAAUCAACAACCCCACUGAGGAAUCGAUUUAUGGAACUCAAGUUCUGCCCCACAUCCCGUCCAUCAUGUGGCAUCAUGAUCAAUGGCCUGUUCUAAAGAGCAACUGACCUGGAAAGUUAACCGGGACUCUUGUUAGACUCUACCAGAACACAUAUGGAGGGUUUGUUCACUAUGUCUCCACCAGCAAGACUGCAUUUUCACUUUUGACAGGUGUCUCCAUAUUCAGAAAACGGGCGGUGCAUCUGCAUGUUUUAAUAGCUGUAUGCAUUUGUUCCUGCAGAGCCGAGAGAGUGUUUGAGAAAGUGUGUCACCCUCACAGAGUUCAGCCACUCGUCAUGGGAGGUAAAUGCAUUUAGGGCAACUGUGCAAGAGAGGACUAGGGCGUGAAAGCUAUCGAAAUCUGGCCAGCCCAGCUCAUCAUGGUCCAGUUUUCUAUGCACACCAAUAAUGGAGGCGAAAAUGCAAAACGGCUCAUCGAAAACAGGACGAGGGGUUACAGUCAAUGGGACUGUGUCCACCCUGAAGAGGCAGCCGAGGCCCAAGACUGCGUCAGGCAGGCAGGAACGUGGCUCCUGUUCUUCAACAGCCUCUUGUCCAGUGUUCUCUGGAUGCCAGAGCGACCUGGACGAAGAGCUGCAGCCACGCUGUCCAUCCAGCCUUUCCUCACCCUCCCUGCACAGGCCUGGUUCCACCUCCAAUCUGAAGGGCUCCGUCUCCAGCCUGCAAGGUUCCUUGUCAAGCCUAAAGGGUUCGGUGGUAAGCCUCAAGAGCUUUCCUACCUCCUCGACACUGCAGAGCUCCAGUCUCAGCCUGCGGAGUUCCAGCCCGAGCCUCCGGAGCUCCAGCUCCAGCCAGCGCAGCUCCAGUGAGGACGACAGCUGGGACACCAACAGCUGGAGCUCCGGAGCCACAUGUCUGCUGCGCAGCUCUAUUAAGCAGCACAGCGAGGAGGUUUUCCGGGUACGUGCUGUCUCUGUGAGUCGACCUGAGGGCACGAGUGAUUCCGAGACAGGCUACCAGAACUCCGACAGCUGCCAGGGCAGUGUGGUGGGAUCGGAGAGCCAGGAGGGAGCGGAGCAGGUCGAUGUGGGGCGGAGAGAUUCGUCAUCAAGUCAGGGCACCUCUGUUGCUUCAACCACAUCAUCCAACUUAGAGCAGAAGAUUGAAGAGAAGCUCAAGUUUUCUCAGUUUCUUGAUGAGGUUACAUGUAGGGUCCUGGAACCCGAGUGUCUACAAGCUUUCGGUGUGCCCAUUCGUCAGAAGGAGUCGCCUUGUCCACAAACAUCAUCUCCCCAAUGCCUAAACUUAACCCCAGUUUCCAGUCCUUGGUUUGGUUCCAGUAGGGAUUCUACCUGUAAUUCCAGGGACAGUAAUGUGUACAAGUGGGCCAAGUGCAUGCCAAGCUGCAAGAUUCUGGAUGCCAGCGAAACCCUGAGAAGAACUCAAGAGGAAAUGGAAAUGUUAGGAAGGACCUACCUAGAGACUGACAUAGACAGAGUAAGGAGGGAAGAUGAAGUGAGUUCCACACAUCUACGAGACGUGGAGAAGAGAACUUUACAGACGAGUGGAAAAUCUUCUCGCGGAUGCCCGAGUCCUGUUUUAAAGCGCUCAGACGGGGCACCGCAGCCACCGCACCGCACCACCUCGCUCCCGAGACCUGCUGUGAGUGGCAUCAUGGUCUCUGAUGGAAACGCGAGCAGCAGCAGGUAA
ensembl:lncRNA